GACGAACGCUGGCGGCGUGCUUAACACAUGCAAGUGGAGCGACGAACCAGGGCUUGCCCUGGGGCAAAGCCGCGAACGGGUGAGUAACACGUGGGUAACCUGCCCCGACGACUGGGACAACCCGGAGAAAUCCGGGCUAAUACCGGAUGUGCUCGCCACCCGAGAGGGUGGUCAGUAAAGGAAGCUUCGGCCUCCGCAUCGGGAUGGGCCCGCGGCCCAUUAGCUUGUUGGUGAGGUAAAGGCUCACCAAGGCCGCGAUGGGUAGCUGGUCUGAGAGGACGAUCAGCCACACUGGGACUGAGACACGGCCCAGACUCCUACGGGAGGCAGCAGUGGGGAAUCUUGCGCAAUGCGCGACAGCGUGACGCAGCAACGCCGCGUGGGGGAAGAAGGCUUUCGGGUUGUAAACCCCUUUCAGCAGGGACGAAGGUGUGGCGGUGAAUAGCCGUCCGCACUGACGGUACCUGCAUAAGAAGCCCCGGCUAACUACGUG
rnacentral:rRNA from 1 species